rnacentral:rRNA from 1 species
CCUACGGGUGGCUGCAGUGCGGAAUAUUGGUCAAUGGUCGGGAGACUGAACCAGCCAAGCCGCGUGAGGGAGGAAGGUACAGAGUAUCGUAAACCUCUUUUGUCAGGGAACAAAGGCGGGGACGUGUCCCAGGAUGAGUGUACCUGAAGAAAAAGCAUCGGCUAACUCCGUGCCAGCAGCCGCGGUAAUCCGGAGGAUGCGAGCUUUCUCCGGAGUUAUUGGUUUAAAGGGGUGCGCAGGUGGUCUGUUAAGGCCGGGGACCAAGCCCGGGGCUCAACCCCGGCGCGCCGUUGAAACUGGCAGUCGCGAGGGGGAGAGAAGUAUGGGGAAUGCGCGGUGUAGAGGUGAAAUGCAUAGAGAUCGCGCAGAACUCCGAUUGCGAAGGCAGCAUGCCGGCUCCACACUGACGCUGAGGCACGAAAGCGUGGGUAUCGAACAGGAUUAGAUACCCCGGUAGUC